rnacentral:rRNA from 1 species
UAUUGGACAAUGGUGGGAACCCUGAUCCAGCGAUGCCGCGUGUGUGAAGAAGGCCUGCGGGUUGUAAAGCACUUUAGUUAGGGAAGAGAGUUGAUUGGUUAAGAGCUGAUUGAUGAGACGGUACCUAAAGAAUAAGCACCGGCUAACUCCGUGCCAGCAGCCGCGGUAAUACGGAGGGUGCGAGCGUUAAUCGGAAUUAUUGGGCGUAAAGGGUGCGUAGGUGGUUGAAUAAGUUAUGUGUGAAAUUCCUGGGCUUAACCUGGGGUGGUCAGAUAAGACUGUUCGACUCGAGUAUGGGAGAGGGUAGUGGAAUUUCCGGUGUAGCGGUGAAAUGCGUAGAGAUCGGAAGGAACACCGGUGGCGAAGGCGGCUACCUGGCCUAAUACUGACACUGAGGCACGAAAGCGUGGGGAGCAAACAGG